CCUACGGGCGGCAGCAGUGGGGAAUAUUGCACAAUGGGCGCAAGCCUGAUGCAGCCAUGCCGCGUGUGUGAAGAAGGCCUUCGGGUUGUAAAGCACUUUCAGCGGGGAGGAAGGCGGUGAGGUUAAUAACCUCAUCGAUUGACGUUACCCGCAGAAGAAGCACCGGCUAACUCCGUGCCAGCAGCCGCGGUAAUACGGAGGGUGCAAGCGUUAAUCGGAAUUACUGGGCGUAAAGCGCACGCAGGCGGUCUGUCAAGUCGGAUGUGAAAUCCCCGGGCUCAACCUGGGAACUGCAUUCGAAACUGGCAGGCUAGAGUCUUGUAGAGGGGGGUAGAAUUCCAGGUGUAGCGGUGAAAUGCGUAGAGAUCUGGAGGAAUACCGGUGGCGAAGGCGGCCCCCUGGACAAAGACUGACGCUCAGGUGCGAAAGCGUGGGGAGCAAACAGGAUUAGAACCCGUGUAGUC
rnacentral:rRNA from 1 species